UAAGGAAUAUUGGUCUAUGGACGCAAGUCUGAACCAGCCAUGCCGCGUGGAGGAUUAAGGCCCUCUGGGUUGUAAACUCCUUUUAUCUGGGAAGAAAUGUACUUUUUCUUGAGUACUUGACGGUACCAGAGGAAUAAGCACCGGCUAACUCCGUGCCAGCAGCCGCGGUAAUACGGAGGGUGCAAGCGUUAUCCGGAUUCACUGGGUUUAAAGGGUGCGUAGGUGGGCAGGUAAGUCAGUGGUGAAAUCUCCGGGCUUAACCCGGAAACUGCCGUUGAUACUAUUUGUCUUGAAUAUUGUGGAGGUAAGCGGAAUAUGUCAUGUAGCGGUGAAAUGCUUAGAUAUGACAUAGAACACCAAUUGCGAAGGCAGCUUACUACACAAUCAUUGACGCUGAGGCACGAAAGCGUGGGGAUCAAACA
rnacentral:rRNA from 1 species